UACGAAGGGUGCAAGCGUUGCUCGGAAUUAUUGGGCGUAAAGGGUAGGUAGGUGGUUACGUAUGUCUGGGGUGAAAUCCCUGAGCUCAACUCAGGAAGUGCCUUGGAAACGGCGUAACUAGAGUGCUAGAGAGGUUCGUAGAAUUCCCGGUGUAGCGGUGAAAUGCGUAGAGAUCGGGAGGAAUACCAGAGGCGAAGGCGGCGAACUGGAUAGCAACUGACACUAAACUACGAAAGCGUGGGGAGCAAACAG
rnacentral:rRNA from 1 species